CUUAGAUCAAACUUGAGUGGGUUAGGAUUAGGGUCAAUUCUUGUAUCAUUGUACACAAUGACUGCUUCCUCCUAUAUUUUCUUUGUAUGUUUUAGAGAGUCUAAUAUUCAUGUUCUAAAUAUAUCAAUUCAAAUGUGUGCAUCAUAAAUGUAGUCUUUCAAAGCUAUUCAUUUGUCCUGCUCAAAUAUGUAAAUAGCUAAAUGCCCUUUACUGUUGCACCAGAAAAUUCAGGGCUUUUAGUUUGCUAAUUACAUUUAAGUACUGCUGACUUACUGUGUAUGUUUAAAAGAGAUAUCUGGGAAUUGAAUUAACUAUAAAUUCUCCACUUGAAGUAGUAUGGGCUGCUUUUCCAAAUUCCUGUCUUCAAAAUAGGGCUGUGACAACCUAAGGUCAAAAAGAAUAUGGUUUAAAUCUACCACCUUCAGACAACUCUCACCUUCACAAUUUUUUUUCACUUUUUGCUAUACUGUCCCCAACUAUUAAAACAGAACUAGAAACAACAAUUAGAAGUAUUCUUCAACAAUGACAAGUAAAGGUCACGUAUAUUAUGUGAGGAUAUAUCUGCAAAUUCCAUGAAAUCCAUUUAUAUAAGUUACUGCCUCAAAAACAAUUGAUGGUAAAUUUGUUUUAAAUUAUUUUAAAAGCCUUAUUUUACAUGGUAGAACAAAUGUCAGAGAAUCUAAGACAAGACAAAUAAUAUCAUCACUCUAGUGUUAAACAAUGAAAAUGAACAAUCUGAUUUAUUUGCAAGAAAGAGUAUACAAAUACAGUUAAAUAACUUUUUACUUCCCAGGUGACUGGAGAGUUGAAAUUAUCAUACACAAAAAUCUUCUAAAACCUAUCAAAAAUAAUAAAAAGAACAAAGAUAUUGCUAUGGACUGAAUGCCUGCAUGCCCCAAAAUUCAUAUGUUGACGUUUAAUCACCAAUGUGCUGGUAACUGGAGGUAGGGCCUUUGGGCGGUAAAUACAUCAGGAGGGUGAAGCCCUCACAAAUGAGAUUAGUGCCCAUAUAAGA
rnacentral:lncRNA from 1 species